rnacentral:rRNA from 1 species
AAAUGAAUUGACGGGGACCCGCACAAGCGGUGGAGGAUGUGGUUUAAUUCGACGCAACGCGAAGAACCUUACCUAGGCUUGACAUGCUGGUGAAAACCAUGGAAACAUGGUCCUCCGUAAGGGACAUCAGUACAGGUGGUGCAUGGCUGUCGUCAGCUCGUGUCGUGAGAUGUUGGGUUAAGUCCCGCAACGAGCGCAACCCUUAUUCUUAGUUGUUUUCCCUUUGGGAUUACCCUCUAAGAAGACUGCCUCGGAUAACGGGGAGGAAGUGGGGAUGACGUCAAGUCCGCAUGCUCCUUACGUCUAGGGCUACACACGUCCUACAAUGGGGUCGACAAUGGGAUGCAAUAUCGCAAGAUGGAGCCAAUCCCCAAACGGCCUCUCAGUUCGGAUUGUAGUCUGCAACUCGACUACAUGAAGUUGGAAUCGCUAGUAAUGGCAGAUCAGCAUGCUGCCGUGAAUACGUUCCCGGGUCUU